AGAGCGAACGCUGGCGGCAGGCUUAACACAUGCAAGUCGAGCGGGCGUAGCAAUACGUCAGCGGCAGACGGGUGAGUAACGCGUGGGAACGUACCUUUUGGUUCGGAACAACCCAGGGAAACUUGGGCUAAUACCGGAUAAGCCCUUACGGGGAAAGAUUUAUCGCCGAAAGAUCGGCCCGCGUCUGAUUAGCUAGUUGGUGAGGUAAUGGCUCACCAAGGCGACGAUCAGUAGCUGGUCUGAGAGGAUGAUCAGCCACAUUGGGACUGAGACACGGCCCAAACUCCUACGGGAGGCAGCAGUGGGGAAUAUUGGACAAUGGGCGCAAGCCUGAUCCAGCAAUGCCGCGUGAGUGAUGAAGGCCUUAGGGUUGUAAAGCUCUUUCGCCCGCGACGAUGAUGACGGUAGCGGGAGAAGAGCCCGGCUAACUCGCGCCAGCAGCCGC
rnacentral:rRNA from 1 species